rnacentral:rRNA from 1 species
UACGUAGGGUGCGAGCGUUGUCCGGAAUUAUUGGGCGUAAAGAGCUCGUAGGCGGCCUGUCGCGUCGGUUGUGAAAGCCCGGGGCUUAACCCCGGGUCUGCAGUCGAUACGGGCAGGCUAGAGUUCGGUAGGGGAGAUCGGAAUUCCUGGUGUAGCGGUGAAAUGCGCAGAUAUCAGGAGGAACACCGGUGGCGAAGGCGGAUCUCUGGGCCGAUACUGACGCUGAGGAGCGAAAGCGUAGGGAGCGAACAGG